AACGAACGCUGGCGGCAGGCCUAACACAUGCAAGUCGAACGCUCGUAGCAAUACGGGAGUGGCAGACGGGUGAGUAACGCGUGGGAACGUACCCUUUGGUUCGGAACAACUCCGGGAAACUGGAGCUAAAACCGGAUAAGCCCUACGGGGGAAAGAUUUAUCGCCGAAGGAUCGGCCCGCGUCUGAUUAGCUAGUUGGUGGGGUAAUGGCCCACCAAGGCGACGAUCAGUAGCUGGUCUGAGAGGAUGAUCAGCCACACUGGGACUGAGACACGGCCCAGACUCCUACGGGAGGCAGCAGUGGGGAAUAUUGGACAAUGGGCGCAAGCCUGAUCCAGCCAUGCCGCGUGAGUGAUGAAGGCCUUAGGGUUGUAAAGCUCUUUCGCGCGCGACGAUAAUGACGGUAGCGCGAGAAGAAGCCCCGGCUAACAUCGUGCCAGCAGCCGCGGUAACAC
rnacentral:rRNA from 1 species